rnacentral:rRNA from 1 species
GACGAACGCUGGCGGCGGGCUUAACACAUGCAAGUCGAACGGAAAGGCCCCUUUGGGGGUACUCGAGUGGCGAACGGGGGAGUAACACGUGAGUAACCUGCCCUUGACUUCGGGAUAACCUCAGGAAACUGGGGCUAAUAACGGAUAGGAAUCCUUGCUGCAUGGUGGGGGUUGGAAAGCUUCGGCGGUUUUGGAUGGACUCGCGGCUUAUCAGCUUGUUGGUGGGGUAGUGGCUUACCAAGGCUUUGACGGGUAGCCGGCCUGAGAGGGCGACCGGCCACAUUGGGACUGAGAUACGGCCCAGACUCCUACGGGAGGCAGCAGUGGGGAAUAUUGCACCAUGGGCGGAAGCCUGAUGCAGCAACGCCGCGUGCGGGAUGACGGCCUUCGUGUUGUAAACCGCUUUCAGCAGGGGCGAAGCUUGUGGUGACGGUACCUGCAGAAGAAGCACCGGCUAACUACGUG